GUCCUGAGUUCAAUUCCCAGCAACCACAUGAUGGCUCACAACCAUCUGUAAUGAGAUCUGGUGCCCUCUUCUGGCCUGCAGGCAUACAUGCAGGCAGAAAUUAUAUAUAUAAAGAAAACCAGCGGUGGUGGCGCCUAGCCUUGGGAGACAGAGGCAGACAGAUCUCUGUGAGUUCCAGGCCAGCCAGAGCUACAUACAGAGAAACCCAGGGGCGGGGGUGGGAGUGAGGUGGGGGUGGGGGGUAGAAAGAAAACCAGCUAAAAAUUAAAAUAAAUAAUAAAAAUUCUAAAAAGGGAGAGAGAGAAAAUCAGCAAAGAGGACAUCUACUUGUGGUCCCUGCCACCUCUGCAGGAGUCUUCGUAGAGAAGUGGCAUCUGGAAUCUGAGGAAGUUCAGUUAGCUUUGUUCUCUGCCUCACUUCUUAGGAGAGGGAAAGACACCAGCCAAGUAGCUGGCAGUCCUUAGUUUGUGUUACUUCUUAGGAAGAUCUGGAGUUCAAAGUGAGCCUUGACUACAUGAGACCCUGUCAUAGUGAGGGUUUGGAGAAGAAUAUAAAAGCCCAGGUAAGUAAGUGGACCCCAUCAGUGUCCCCGGCCAGGCGCAGGCCUGCCUACUCACCAUGCAGGCGUUACAUGGAUGUGGCCACACGGGGUUUCUGGGUCUCUUCAUUCUAGCGGCUACUGGAGAUUCCCCCCCCUCCCUGCAUUCCUUUUCCCCUAAAUUCCUGAGAGGGAACUGAGGCCCCACACUUCUGAGCAGAGUCCUGCUUCACCUGGCGGGCUGCACGGCCUGCCUCUAGCCUUCUCCCCAGUGUUCCUGUGCUCUCUGUGUCCCUGGGCUAUAAAAAGGGCGUGUCCUAGGAGUGACCCUGCCCAGUGCCUCCUCUGUGCAUAGACCUCUACCAUUAUCACCAAAACCUCUAUUUUUUUAGGUUAUAUUUUAUAUGUAUGAGUAUUUUGUCUGCGUGGAUAUAUGUGCACCAUGUACCCUCAGAGAACCAAAGAGGGUUUUGGAUCCACUGGAACCAAAGUUAGAGAUGUUUGUGAAGCAUCGUGUCAGUGCUGGGAAUCGAACCCAGGUCCUCUGAAUGACCAGCAAGUGUUCUUGACCACUGAACCAUCUCUCCAACCCUCAUGUUUCUAGCUCUCCAGCCUGUGAUUUAGCUGGCUUUCUGGGUCAGGACAAGAGGUAGGGAGGGACAGCAGAAGCAGGCCUGCUUUAUUUUCUUCAGUUGCAGCCUUUGUCCUACAACAAGAUUGGGUACAUUUAGGGAAUUAGCCUGAAUAUUGGCCCCAGACAGAUUUACUCAAUUCUUUGAGAAUCAGAAAUUAACCUCUGUGGGAUUUGCACAAGCAUCCCAAGCUAAUAUGGUGCUGAGUGUUGGAAGGCCUUCUCACCACUGAAGGAAGGGUCUCACUGUGUAGCCCAAGCAGGCUCUGAAUUCAUGACCCACCUCCUUCCACCUCCCACUUGCUGGGACUGCAGGUAUGGACCACUCCUGGCUAUAGGGCCCACUUCUGACCUAUGAAUUCUAGAGGGUUUCAAAGUAGCUUACCUUCAACCUUUUUAUUGAGUAAAGAUAGAACUGGCACUGGUGUCUAACAAUGCUUUCUGGCCUGCUGAAUUUUGUAUUCGGUUCUACAUGAGGGACCAAAUCCCUGGCUCUCCCUCAGGUAUGUUUUGGGAAUGUGUGAGAUUAUAACAAUAAAUGGCUUACAGGUUUAUUAACCAAACUCAUCUGCCAAGGUUCAAAUAAAAUCGCCAUCUUCUUAGAAACUAAAUUAAUAUAUGUAUUUUAAUCCACAUAGCACCCUCAAGGGGUAGCAGCAUAAGCUGAGAAGUCCGUUGCCCCAGGGUUCCAAAGGCCCAUAUUAGUGCUGGGGAGUGGCAGGUCAGCAGGGCAGCUAGGUGUUCUAGCUAGAAACAUCUACCCUGGCAUCCUUGGGUGUGAGCACUUGUGUGUGUGAGCACUUGUGGGCAGUUAGGGCAACAGGCCUCCUGGAGAACAAUCUGUGAAACUAGUGCAAGGGAGCCCUGGCAGGGCUAUCCCUGGUGGCGCAGCAGAGUGGCUUCAGGUGGGUUCCCCCAGGCAGGCAGCCUUCCUGCAGGGUCUGUGGGGACACUGACCACCCAGUCAGGGGAAGUCUUCAUGCCCAUAUAAUACUCCCAUUUGCCUACCCUACCUUCAACUUUUCCUUGCUUUGCUCGGACCCAUGACAGGGCAUGUGCCCCACAUUACUUCCUGCCCUGGUUCAUUCUAACUCAACUUGUCACAACCUAGGGUCACCUGGGAGGAAGUCUCAAUGAGGAAUUAUCUGGAGCAGGUUGGCCUGCUGUAGGCAUGCCUGUGGAAAACUGUCCUGACUGUUAAUUGGUUGGGAUGGUACCCUCCCAUGGGCUAGGCUCUGGCCUGCAUGAGUAGAGAAAGCCAGCUGGGCACUAAGCAAGUAAGCAAUUAUGCGCUCUGCUCCUGGUCUUGGGUGUGAUGUGAUUGGCUGCUUGAGUUCCUGCCUUGACUUACCCAAAAUAGAUUGUAACUUGGAAUUAUAAGCCAAAUAAAUAAUUUCCUCUCCUAUGUUGCUUUUUUUUGUCGCAGAAACAGAAAUGAGAUGAAUGCUGUCCCCUUGCACAGCAACCCUGCCUGCAUUAGAAAGUUCAAUCACAGAAGGAAUGGAACACAAGAAAAAGGAGUUUACCGGGGGAGUGAUGUGGGGAAGGGCGUUACAAAUGAAGAGUCAUUUGCCCUGAGUCUGUCUAAGCAGGGCUAAGAAGGAAGAAGAGCAGCAUUCUAGACAGAGGGAAGAGCAAGCAGGGAAAAGACACAGAAAUGCAUGACAGCCAGAACAUCAGAACUGGGACCUCUCAGUGUGCAUUAAGACUCCCAUCAGCUGGGCAGAGAAUACAGUGGAGAUGGAAAAGCUUUGCCCAUGCCUGACCUGGCAUCAUCUGGGCUGUUUGACAAGGGAAAAAGAAUCACUGAAGUGUCUCACUGCUUGCCUCUUACAGUUUUUCUGCCCAACAUUAACUGUUAGCUGACGGCUGUCCGGACAUCUGCCCCACAUGCAGAUGACAUGAGCAAGACUGGCUUCUCUCGGCCACUGAAGAAACCUAGGCUCCAUUUCUUUCACCACAGAUCGUUCCCAGGUGCCCCCGGGCUCACUCAGCCCUUCCUCUUGAAAAAACCUCCCAUGAGCGGUUCCGCCCAUGCAGAGGCUCCCAAGCUCAUCAUUG
ensembl:lncRNA